rnacentral:rRNA from 1 species
AUUGAACGCUGGCGGCAGGCCUAACACAUGCAAGUCGAACGAGUGGCGGACGGGUGAGUAAUGUCUGGGAAACUGCCCGAUGGAGGGGGAUAACUACUGGAAACGGUAGCUAAUACCGCAUACCAUCGGAUGUGCCCAGAGGGGAUUAGCUAGUAGGUGGGGUAACGGCUCACCUAGGCGACGAUCCCUAGCUGGUCGUAGAGGAGGACCAGCCACACUGGAACUGAGACACGGUCCAGACUCCUACGGGAGGCAGCAGUGGGGAAUAUUGGACAAUUGGCGCAAGCCUGAUUCAGCCAUGCCGCGUGUAUGAAGAAGGCCUUCGGGUUGUAAAGUUCUUUCAGCGAGGAGGCGUUACUCGCAGAAGAAGCACCGGCGAACUCCGUGCCAGAAGCCGCGGUAAUAC